CCUACGGGGGGCUGCAGUGGGGAAUAUUGGACAAUGGGCGAAAGCCUGAUCCAGCCAUGCCGCGUGUGUGAAGAAGGUCUUCGGGUUGUAAAGCACUUUCAGUGGGGAAGAAAGCCUUGGGGCUAAUACCCUCGAGGAAGGACAUCACCCACAGAAGAAGCACCGGCUAACUCCGUGCCAGCAGCCGCGGUAAUACGGAGGGUGCGAGCGUUAAUCGGAAUUACUGGGCGUAAAGCGCGCGUAGGCGGUCUGAUAAGCCGGUUGUGAAAGCCCCGGGCUCAACCUGGGAACGGCAUCCGGAACUGUCAGGCUAGAGUGCAGGAGAGGAAGGUAGAAUUCCCGGUGUAGCGGUGAAAUGCGUAGAGAUCGGGAGGAAUACCAGUGGCGAAGGCGGCCUUCUGGACUGACACUGACGCUGAGGUGCGAAAGCGUGGGUAGCAAACAGGAUUAGAUACCCGAGUAGUC
rnacentral:rRNA from 1 species